rnacentral:lncRNA from 14 species
GUCAAAUUCAGACACAGAGAGGGAGGGUCUGUUGAUGUAUGUAUGAUGGGAAGCUCAGAAGAAUGUAAGUUUGGGAUGUGAAAGCAUCACACUCCUGAAUUAUGAUUAUUUAUCGUCAUGAUAGUGCCUGGAGGCCCCAGCCUCAUUGCGCUAAGGACUUCACAGACACAUAAAGAAGAGACAGUCCCUGCUCUGAAGAUGAAUGAGGAAAACCCCUGAUGGGGCUGGGAACAGCUGUGGCAUAUAUCCAUCAAGCUGAUGGAGCAUGUUUACAAGGAGCACAGGAGCAACAGGGAACAGGUUAUGUGCACAUGGUGGCUGCCCUGAAUCCUCAGCUCGUUGCUGCUGUUGGGUUCUACAUGGUCACGGACAUCCUCCCCUGCAUUGCUGCCAGCAGCAGUCAUCUAGAUGAGUGUGAAAGGGGUGCCUUAGCACAGGUUCCUCAGACUGGUUGA